rnacentral:rRNA from 1 species
AGAGUUGAUUAUGGCUCAGGAUGAACGCUAGCGACAGGCUAACACAUGCAAGUCGAGGGCAUCACGGGAGUAGCAAUACAACUGGUGGCGACCGGCGCACGGGUGAGUAACGCGUAUGCAACCUACCUAUCAGAGGGGAAUAACCCGGCGAAAGUCGGACUAAUACCGCAUAAACAGGGGCACCGCAUGGUGAUAUUUGUUAAAGAAAUUCGCUGAUAGAUGGGCAUGCGUUCCAUUAGGUAGUUGGUGAGGUAACGGCUCACCAAGCCGACGAUGGAUAGGGGAACUGAGAGGUUGGUCCCCCACACUGGUACUGAGACACGGACCAGACUCCUACGGGAGGCAGCAGUGAGGAAUAUUGGUCAAUGGGCGGGAGCCUGAACCAGCCAAGUCGCGUGAAAGGAAGAAGGAUCUAUGGUUCGUAAACUUCUUUUGCAGGGGAAUAAAGUGCAGGACGUGUCCUGUUUUGUAUGUACCCUGAGAAUAAGGAUCGGCUAACUCCGUGCCAGCCGCUGC